rnacentral:lncRNA from 1 species
GAUGGGGGAAAGCCUUUUAAAGUUUAUUCAAGGAAGAAAAGGAAGACCUAAGUAAACUUUAAGUAGGAUUAAUAUUAAUUAGAAUUGAAUACGGAUUGGUAUUUGUUGGAGUCUAAUUAGGAUUAGCUAGUUGAGUUAUAAUAUAAUUAGAAUUUGAGUCAUGAUAGGUUAUUAGAGUCCUAGUAGACUUUGAAUGUUAUAAUUAGAAUUAAAAUCAUAAUAGGUUAUUAGAGUCCUAGUAGACUUUGGAUUUCUUAGAGAAUCCUAUAAAUAGGCUAAUCAAUGUAAAUCAAAUGGAUGAAUUUGAUGCAUAAUAUUAUACUUUCUUUCACUACAAGGUUACAACCCUCAAUGGUGAGACUCUAUUGAUUUUCUUUUAGGUAAGACUCCUAGAAGGCCUUAGUGAGACUCUAAGGUUUUCCAUCUUUUCUUCAUUAUUUCUUCUUUCUCUCUAUUUCUUAUCUUAUAAUUUUCUCUACCAUCAAAUUUAUUCUUUGUUCCUCUCCUUACACCCUAAAAGUAAAACCCUAGCCCACCUACCCUUGAGUGUAGGCAACCAUCCUAGGGUUGUCCUACAUCAAUUUUGGUAUCAGAGCCAAAAUUCUUGGCUUGAAGGCAUAUGCAAUUAAGGAGCGGAGCAACUUAUGCAAGCAUGAGUUCCAAAAAAACUUCUAGCAAUCAAGAUGUCGCUACAAUACGCUUGGAGGAAAUUUCAGCCACACAACAAUCCCAUCAAGAUGCUAUAAUACAACUAAAUAGUAAACUUGAUGAGAUCAUGAAGUUAUUGGAAAAGAGUCAAGAAAAACGACCAAUUGAAGAAGAGAUCGCAAGUCAUCAAUUUAGACAAUCGCCAAGUCGAUCACACGAAGAACCAGACAAUUUUAUGAUGGAGAAUCAAAGAAGGGCCAAACUUUUUUAGCUAGAUGAUGAUGUGACAAAAAAGGUACGUCUUGAAGUUGCUGAAUUUUAUGGAAAACUAAAUCCAACAGUUUUUCUUGAUUGGAUUAUGUCAAUAGAAGAUUAUUUUGAUUGGUAUGCAAUGCCCGAAAAUAGAAAAGUUCGUUUUGUGAAGGCAAAGUUGAAAUGAGCAGCACGUCUAUGGUGGCAUAAUAUUGAGAAUCAAGUUCAUAAAACUGGCCAACCGCCUAUUGACACAUGAGACGAGAUGAAGUUGAAGAUGAAGGAACACUUUCUCCCAACUGAUUAUGAACAACUUAUGUAUACAAAAUUGUUUUCCCUUAAACAAGGUACCAAGUCCGUUGAAGAAUAUACAGAAGAAUUCCAUGAAUUGAGCAUUCGAAAUCAAGUGCGGGAAAGUGAUGCUUAACUUGUAGCCCGCUACAAAGCUGGACUUCGAAUGGAGAUUCAACUUGAGAUGAUAGUUGCACACACUUAUACCGUAGAUGACGUUUAUCAACUAGCCCUCAAAAUAGAAGAAGACCUCAAAUUUCGGGUUUCCAAGCGUCCAAGUUCACAAAUUGGGAGCACUUUCUCCAACAGGACAACAAGCAAACCUUUAAGCACAUCAAACUUUAGAACUUCUAAUCAUGUGAAUGGUGGGGGCAACACUCAACAAGCUUCGAAUGUGGCUCAUAAGAAUGGUAAUAAGGGUACAAAUUCAAUGAGUAAUGGAGAUAGAAAAGUAGACGUGACUCCUUUAUGCUUUAAGUGUGGUGGGCAUGGUCAUUAUGCUGUUGUAUGCCCAACCAAAGGUUUACACUUUCGUGUUGAAGAACCAGAAUCUGAAUUGGAAAGUUACCCAAAGGAAGAAGAGACCUACAAUGAAGAUGAAGUUAGUGAAGAAUGUGACUACUAUGAUGGUAUGACAGAAGGACAUAGUCUUGUAGUACGACCUUUAUUAACCGUUCCAAAAGUAAAAGGAGAAAAAGAUUGGCGAUGUACUAGCAUUUUCCAAACACGUAUUUCUUGCCAAGGGAGAUUAUGCACCAUGAUCAUUGAUGGAGGUAGCAGUUUGAACAUAGCUUCAUAAGAACUUGUUGAGAAGCUAAACCUUAAGACAGAGAGACAUCCAAAUCCAUUCAGAGUAGCAUGGGUUAAUGACACCUCUAUCCCGGUAAGUUUUCGUUGUUUAAUAACAUUCCUUUUUGGUAAGGACUUUGAAGAGUUUGUAUGGUGUGAGGUCUUACCCAUUAAAGUAAGUCAUAUUUUACUUGGAAGACCUUGGCUCUUUGAUAGAAGAGUUCAACAUGACGGCUAUGAAAAUACAUAUGCUCUCAUACACAACGGACGUAAGAAGAUCCUUCGUCCAAUGAAAGAAGUCCCUCCAAUUAAGAAGUCAAAUGAGAAUGCACAACCAAAAAAGGUACUUACUAUGUGUCAAUUUGAAAAUGAGAGCAAGGAAACUAAAGUUAUUUUUGCUUUAAUGGCUCGGAAAGUGGAAGAAUUUAAAGAACAAGAUAAGGAAUAUCCAGCAAACGUACGUAAAAUCCUUGAUGACUUUUCUGACUUGUGACCUGUAGAGUUACCUAAUCAACUCCCUCCUAUGCGUGAUGUACAACAUGCCAUUGAUUUGAUUCCCGGUGCAUCAUUACCAAAUUUACCAGCCUACAGAAUGAAUCCAACAGAGCAUGCUGAAUUGAAAAGGCAAGUUGAUGAAUUACUUACUAAAUGCUUUAUUCGUGAAAGCCUAAGUCCUUGUGGAGUUCCUACCCUACUAACACCAAAGAAGGAUGGAUCAUGGCGGAUGUGUGUGGAUAGUCGUGCAAUCAACAAAAUCACAACCAAGUAUCAAUUUCCAAUUCCAAGACUUGAUGACAUGCUAGAUAUGAUGGUUGGAUCAGUAAUCUUCUCAAAGAUUGAUCUAAGAAGUGGAUAUCAUCAAAUACGUAUGAGACUAGGGGAUGAAUGGAAGACAUCUUUCAAAACUAAGGAUGGAUUGUAUGAGUGGUUAGUCAUGCCGUUUGGACUAACCAAUGCUCCAAGUACCUUCAUGCGGAUUAUGACGCAGGUAUUAAAACCUUUUAUUGGACGGUUUUUUGUUGUCUAUUUUGAUGAUAUUCUUAUCUAUAGUCGAUUUUGUGAAGAUCAUAAGGAACACUUGAAGCAAGUAAUGCGCACUCUUAAGACUGAAAAGUUUUACAUUAAUUUGAAAAAAUGUACUUUCAUGAGCCCUAGUGUUGUAUUUCUUGGCUUUGUUGUGUCUUCUAAGGGUGUUGAAACAGAUCCGGAGAAGAUCAAAGCUAUUGUUGAUUGGCCAGUACCAACAAAUAUCCAUGAGGUGCGAAGCUUCCAUGGAAUGGCUACAUUCUAGUGACGAUUUAUUCGAAAUUUCAGCUCUAUUAUGACCCCAAUUACUGAAUGCAUGAAACCUGGUUUAUUUAUUUGGACCAAGGUGGCCAACAAGGCAUUUGAAGAAAUCAAAUCCAAGAUGGUGAACCCUCUUAUCCUACGUCUACCAGACUUUGAGAAAGUAUUUGAGGUGGCCUGUGAUGCUUCCCAUGUGGGAAUUGGAGCAGUUCUUAGCCAAGAGGGACAUCCUGUGGCUUUCUUUAGUGAGAAGCUCAAUGAGGCAAAGAAAAAAAUACUCCACAUAUGAUCUUGAAUUCUAUGCGGUGGUGCAAGGAAUUAGGCAUUGACAACAUUAUCUCAGUUACAAGGAAUUUGUUUUGUAUUCAGAUCAUGAAGUCUUGCGAUAUCUUAAUUCUCAAAAGAAGCUUAACUCUCGACAAGCAAAAUGGAGUAGUUUUCUUCAACUGUUUACCUUUAAUUUAAAGCAUUGUGCAUGAAUUGAAAAUAAAGUAGUUGAUGCCCUUAGUAAGAAGACCUUUCUCUUAGUAAACAUGUCAACCACUACAAUUGGAUUUGAAGAAUUAAAGCAUUGCUAUGACAAUGAUGCUGAUUUUGGAGAUGUUUAUUCCUCUCUUUUGAGUGGUUCAAAAGCAACAUGUAUUGAUUUCCAGAUUUUAGAAGGGUACUUGUUUUAUAAAAAUCAUUUAUGCUUACCAAGGACUUCUCUACGUGAUCAUGUCAUAUGGGAACUUCAUGGAGGUGGAAUGGGUGGACAUUUUAGACGAGAUAAGACCAUUGCUUUGGUGGAAGAUCGCUUCUUUUGGCCUAGUUUAAAGAAGGAUGUUUGGAAGGUUAUCAAACAAUGUCGAGCAUGUCAAGUAGGAAAAGGUUCAAAGCAAAAUACAGGGAUAUAUACGCCAUUACCAGUUUCUUUCAAACCUUGGGAAGACUUGAGCAUGGAUUUUGUACUUGGAUUACCAAGGACACAACGGGGCUUUGAUUCUAUAUUUGUUGUGGUUGAUAGAUUUUCCAAAAUGACAUAUUUUAUCCCAUGUAAGAGACUUCAAAUGCUUCUUAUGUUACUGUCUUAUUCUUUAAAGAAGUAGUUCAAUUGCAUGGAUUACCACAAUCCAUUGUUUUUGAUCGCGAUGUCAAGUUUAUGAGCUAUUUUUGGAAAACCUUGUGGGCCAAGCUAGGUACUCAAUUAAAAUUUUCAAGUUCUUUUCAUCCUCAAACUGAUGGACAAACAGAAGUUGUCAAUCGCAGUCUUGGUAAUCUUUUGAGAUGCAUUGUGAGAGAUCAGUUGAGAAAUUGGGAUAAUGUCUUACCACAAGUCGAAUUUGCUUUCAAUAGCUCCACUAAUCGUACUACUGGAUACUUACCUUUUGAAGUGGCAUAUGGGCUGAAACCUAAGCAACCUAUUGAUCUUAUACCAUUACCUACUUCUGUCCGCACCAGCCAAGAUGGUGAUGCAUUUGCACGUCAUAUACGAGAUAUACAUGAAAAGGUACGAGAAAAAAUCAAAAUCAGCAAUGAGAACUAUAAAGAGGCAACAGAUGCAUAUCGAAGAUAUAUUCAGUUUCAAGAAGGUGGUCUAGUGAUGGUUCGUUUACGACCAGAAAGAUUUCAUCCGAGCACAUAUCAAAAGCUUCAAGCUAAGAAAGCGGGUCCAUUUCGGGUACUAAAGCGGUUGGGUGAGAAUGCUUAUUUGUUAGAGCUCCCUUCAAACUUGCCUUUUAGUCCAAUAUUUAAUGUGAAAGAUUUGUAUAUCUACCAUGGCCAUCACAACGAUGUAAGUGAAGAGUUGGAUAUUCAAUUACCACCUACUCUUAGCCCACGUCCUGAGAUCGAGUAUGUUCUUGAUGAUCAACUUGUGUCUACUCGACAAGGUGGAUACCGAAAUUUUUUGGUGAAAUGGCGAGGCAAACCACACCUGAGAAUACAUGGAUUACGACAACAGAUUUUCAGAAGAUUAACCCCGAUCUCUAUGAAUUGUAUCAAGCAUCUAACUCGUCGGAGCCGAGUUCUUUCAAGCCGAGGAGAAUUGAUGGGGGAAAGCCUUUUAAAGUUUAUUCAAGGAAGAAAGGGAAGACCUAAGUAAACUUUAAGUAGAAUUAAUAUUAAUUAGAAUUGAAUACGGAUUGAUACUUGUUGGAGUCUAAUUAGGAUUAGCUAGUUGAGUUAUAAUAUAAUUAGAAUUUGAGUCAUGAUAGGUUAUUAGAGUCCUAGUAGACUUUGGAUGUUAUAAUUAGAAUUAGAAUCAUAAUAGGUUAUUAGAGUCCUAGUAAACUUUGGAUUUCUUAGAGAAGCCUAUAAAUAGGCUAAUCAAUG